AUGGUGGUCUCCGUGAGCGCGGGCGGUGGGCUGGCGGACGGGUUCGGCCUCCUCUGCCCGUUCUUGGCCCGCUUGAUGAUGCCCAGGUGUUUUUAUGUUGCUGGUCUGGUCUAUGAGCUGCAAGCGACUGUCCAGUUGUCGGUCAGGGAAAUCAUAAUGUCAACAAGUGAAAACUUACGGGUGGAGUUAUUGUCCAGAACCCCGCCUUUUGGUUUGAGACUAUGGGUUGUGCUUGGCAUAAGCAUUUGGGCUGCAAUUCUGUUUGUCCUAGGCCUCAUAUGCUUCCUGUUGAUAUACUGGAGGAGACGAGGGAAUCAUCAUGAUAUUGCUGAGCCUGAAAUCCCAGAUGUAACCAAAGAGAUUGCAGUAGAUGAAGUUGGUAGCCGAGCUUUUGUGGAGAACAUCUGUGCCCCAGAAAGUCACAUCUUUCCAGUGAAGGAGAGAGAUCCAGAGAAAGAAUCGGGGAAAGUGUUCGCUCACUUGAUUACGAGCAAAUCAAGUGAUGAUCAUAAUUUGAUUGAGUGCAGCUCGCACCAAUAUGAUAGGGCCCAGGAGUUAUACUCUGGUGAUGAAGGCAGUUCAGCAUAUGAUAAGAGGGAGUACUCUCAGUGUGCCACCAUGUCCAUGUCUCCUCGGGCUGGUCUCCCAGAGUUCUCUCACCUGGGUUUGGGUCAUUGGUAUACUCUCAGAGAGUUGGAGCAUUCAACAAAUGGGUUCUCUAAUGAGUAUAUCAUUGGAGAGGGCGGAUAUGGGGUUGUUUAUCAUGGCUGUCUUGUAAAUGGAACUGAUGUUGCAAUCAAAAAACUUUUUAAUAACGUGGGCCAGGCAGAGAAAGAGUUCAGGGUCGAAGUUGAGGCCAUUGGUCAUGUUAGGCAUAAGAAUCUGGUGCGACUUCUGGGUUACUGUGUUGAGGGAAGCCACAGGAUGCUUGUCUACGAAUACAUCAGCAACGGCAACUUAGAACAGUGGUUGCAUGGUGCGAUGCGUCAACAAGGUGUUCUUACCUGGGAAGCCCGCAUAAAAAUUACCCUUGGCAUUGCUAAAGCACUGGCUUAUUUGCACGAAGGCAUAGAGCCAAAAGUUAUUCACCGUGAUAUCAAAUCAAGUAAUAUCCUUAUUGACGAAGAAUUCAAUGGAAAACUUUCUGACUUUGGAUUAUCUAAGCUCUUGGGUGAAGGGAAGAGCCAUAUAACUACUCGAGUUAUGGGGACUUUUGGCUAUGUAGCCCCUGAAUACGUAAAUACUGGACUGCUAAAUGAAAAGAGCGAUGUGUACAGUUUUGGGGUACUACUCUUGGAAGCCGUGACUGGAAGGGAUCCUGUUAACUACAGCCGGCCUGCCAAUGAGGUCCAUAUGGUGGAGUGGCUUAAACAGAUGGUUGGCAGCAGGAGAGCAGAGGAGGUGGUUGAUUCUGAAAUGGAGGCUAAACCAACUAAACAGGCUCUCAAGCGUGCUCUCCUAGUCGCGCUCAAGUGUGUAGACCCCGUUGCUGACAGAAGGCCUACUAUGGGUCAGGCCGUUCGUAUGCUCGAAGCAGAGGAUGGGCUAUCACGGGAGGAACGGAGGAAGAGCCGGCCGGCGCAUGUCGAUGGUGGAGACACCUGA
rnacentral:rRNA from 1 species